UGAUACUCUGGGAAGUACCAAAUGGAGGAUAAACAAAAGGGUACUUUCUGUAGUUGAUAGAAUAUGGGCUGGUGGUGGUCGUCUGGCUGAUUUGGUGGACCGUGAUGAUGUCCCUUUGCCAGAAGAACCAGAUACGGAAGAUGAGGCAGUAUGCACGAAGUGGAGGUGGAAAGUAAAAUCUGUCAAGAAAGAGAACAGAGAAAGACACUCACAACGAUGUGACAUCGAGCUGAAACUUGCUGUAGCGCAUAGAAUGAAAGAUGAAGAAGGUUUCUUCUACCCGCACAAUGUUGAUUUCCGAGGUCGCGCUUACCCCAUGCAUCCACAUUUAAACCAUCUCGGUUCUGAUAUCUGUCG
rnacentral:misc_RNA from 1 species